AGUCUUCUGAACCUGUGCCGAAAUUUCGUCCGACAAGAGACUGUCGGGACUGAUGAGAUUCCUAAGAUAAGUCAAACG
rnacentral:pre_miRNA from 1 species